AGUGAACGCUAGUGGCGUGCUUAACACAUGCAAGUCGAACGGACGAUAUUUGUGCUUGCACAAAUAAAGUUAGUGGCAAACGGGUGAGUAAUACAUGAGAAUUUUCCUUGCAGUACGGAAUAACUAUUGGAAACAGUAGCUAAUACCGUAUAUUGCCGAGAGGUGAAAGAUUUAUCGCUGCAAGAUAAGCCCAUGCAAGAUUAGCUUGUUGGUAAGGUAAUGGCUUACCAAGGCUACGAUCUUUAGCUGGUUUGAGAGGAUGAUCAGCCACACUGGAACUUAGACACGGACCAGACUCCUACGGGAGGCAGCAGUGAGGAAUAUUGGACAAUGGAGGCAACUCUGAUCCAGCCAUGCCGCGUGCAGGAAGACUGCCCUAUGGGUUGUAAACUGCUUUUAUACAGGAAGAAUUGCAUCUACGUGUAGUUGCUUGACGGUACUGUACGAAUAAGGAUCGGCUAACUCCGUGCCAGCCGCCGCCGUAACAC
rnacentral:rRNA from 1 species